AGUAAGAUCAGCUAAACAAAGCUUUUGGGCCCAUACCCCAAAAAUGUAGGUUAAAAUCCUUCUCUUACCG
rnacentral:tRNA from 2 species